CUGAACCAGCAACUUGGAGGAAUGUAUAGCGAAAGCUAGCUGCAUUUAACUUAGCUAGAGUUGGUGUAGUAUUGACUAUGUCGAAUAAAGUUCUAGAUGGGUUAUGAUGAUGACAUUUCCCAUCUAUGUGUCUUGACCAAAUUACGUGCCAGCAGUCGCGGUAACACGUAAAAGACUAGUGUUAUUCAUCUUUAAUAGGUUUAAAGGGUACCUAGACGGUAAAUCAAGUCCGAGAAGGAUACUAAUUUGACUAGAGUUUAAUAUGAAGGGGCUACAAAAGUACUUAUAAGUGGAGAGAUGAAAUUCUGUGAUACUAUAUAUGGCACUGGUAAAGGCGAAGGCAUCCCAAUAUGUAAUAACUGACGUUGAGGGACGAAGGCUAUGUGUAGCAAAAAGGAUUAGAUACCCUUGUAGUUUUAGCAGAAAAUUAUGAAUGUCAUAGGAUAGAACAACAAAUUUUUUUCUAUAAAUGAAAGUGUAAGCAUUCCACCUCGAGAGUAAUAUGGCAACAUUGGAACUGAAAUCAUUAGACCGUUUUUGAAACAAGUAGUGAAGUAUGUUGUUUAAUUUGAUGGUCCGCAAAAAACCUUACCACAAUUUGAAUAGAAAAUUUUUUUUUUCAUACAAGCGCUGCACGGUUGUCUUCAGUUAAUGUCGUGAGAUCUUGGUUAGUUCCAUUAAAUUAACGUAAACCCUUACUUUAUUUUUAUAUAGAGUAGUUCACCGCUAGAUUGGAUGUGAUAACAGGGACUAAGACAAGUCAUCAUGGCCUUAAUAUUGUGGGCUAUAGACGUGCCACAUAUGCCUUACAAAGGGAUG
rnacentral:rRNA from 1 species